ensembl:lncRNA
UGAGACUCUGAGGGGAUAGCAUGCAUUUCUGGAGACCUCUUUUCUAGAGAUGAGGGACCAGGGACAGAGACUUUGUCACUCUCUAUCAUCUGAAGGCCAAAAACAGGACACCUAUUAAUUGUAACGUCCACAUGUAUUUUUUAAAUUGCCGCAUCCCGGUAUCAGCAGGGAGAGCAGCUUGCAGCUUGGUUUAACAUGCUGCUAACUGCCACCUACAGAUGCAAGCAUGAAACAUAUACAGUCCCUGGGCCUAUUGAAUUAUUUAAAGUAUAAAGCAUAAUGCAAUGCUUUUGCUGUGCCAAAGAGAAAUGAUUCUCUUUGGAGAUCAUAUCCUGGAGAUUGUAUUAGACUCGUCUCCCCAGUUCCCUGCUUUCAGCCUUUCCAGUAACAUGAAGCACUUAUCAAAUUAGAAUUCUUCAGAAACAGAAUGGCACAGACCAGUCUAUAUUUAGCAACAACAACCCCAAAGCAGCUGAAUCAGCUGACUGGAAGCUGCUACCCUGAUGUGCAGCCUUGGUUUAGAUAGCACAUAUUCAACGCUAGAAUCAAGGAGGACAGACAGCACAAGAGAAGAGACGCUGAGCCUGGACAUUUAAGAGCAUCUGGGUCAUACCCUGAAACAGAUCCAGUCAGGUUUCUAGAUGGCGUUGCUUUGCAGCUCCUCCUGCCCAUUCCCACUGUGUUCCCAAUCUCCUGUUGUGUUCCUUCAUCUGCUCUAAACUACACCUAGAUCCUGUCUAACACAGCAGAUGAAGGAGAGGGAUGAGGGAAUGGACUGCAGAGAGAAUUGAUGUGAUAAGGGACAGUAACUGGAUUGUAAAGUGUGUUAUUUAUACAUAGAAAGCCCCAUUUUCUAUUUCCAGAAAUGGCUCCUUCGGAUUCUUGUUCUGGUGAAGAAAACUACCUUCAAUCUGUCUACCAGCAGGCAAGGCCUGCGUUCCUGGUACCACCAGAAAAUAAGCAUAAAAUCCAAGACAUCAACAAAUCUAGAAAGCUACACAAUAAUUACAGGGUCUUAAAAUUCUCUGAAACACCAAAAAUGGUCUCCAGAUACACCCUUCCUAACAUGCUAUUGUUAGAGAGACAGUGCUUCGUUCUUGAUUGCAUCAAAACUUACUCCAGCUCAAACAUGGACCCAUUGGAUACAGACACUCAGAAAAAUCAUAGGUGGAGAUGUCCUAAGGGCUAUGAGAACACUGAUAAUGAUGACGCAAAGCACAACUUUCAUGGCAUCAGUCUGGGCACACCUCAAGAAAAAGUAAUAGAGAAACGCGAUCUUGUCAGCCUCUUUCCAAGAAUUCCCUCCCCGAGACCACCGCCCAAGGAAGAUGGUGGCCAAGAGCUAAGAAACCUGAAAAACCAAGACAAGAUGCAAACUCUGAAAAGCAAUCCAAAUCAGAAAGAAAAUGAACUCCUUAUUGUUAAUGGCAAAUCCAUAUGGCUGCAUCCACCCAAAGAAGCCGCACUUGGUGCCAAGGUUAUGAGAUCACAAAGAGGGCAACCAACAGUGAAGACAGCAACCUGUUCUGAAAGAGAGAAGGUAAAAUCUUCCAUUUAUAUUCCAGAUAGCAAGAGAGAAGCAAGUAGCAGAGAACACCAUGUGCAGUUCUUCCAUAGUGAUCAACCGGCUGCAAAUUUGGACUGGCUUUCAGAAUACCGAAGUGCAUGGAAAGAAGCAAAGAUGAGGGCUUGCCUGCUCCCAGCCAUUGCCGAAUCAUGA